rnacentral:lncRNA from 1 species
CACUGUCCUGUGGCCUUCAUUCCUUGGGGAAAACACCACAAUGGUCAUCACCUGAACAAAUGGACUGGGGAGAUGUGGAAGUGAAAGAAAGGGAACAUGUAUCAGAGACCCAGUAGCAAUGGAACAUCAAUUGGCACAGAGGAUUUGGGAAGAAGGAACCAGAUUUGAGUAUUUUCAGCUCUAGGUGCUGAAGAUGUUCAUGAUCAGAUAGACAUGGUAGUUGAGGGAAAGAGAGUUUUGGGGAGCCCUUCUCCUUGGAAUUCUAGGGAGAGGACAUCUUAUUCUUAUUGGAUCACGCACAGUGCCUGAAGCAUUCUGUUGCAUGUAGAAAUCAGUAAAUUGCAGAUGUAAGAUUCAAAACGAGACUUCACAUCUACCGACUUCAGUGAUCCUGAAAUUUGUCCACAGAGAGCAUUUAACAUAACUGUCUUCAUCAUCUCCUUCUCUAAUUAAAAACUAUGGAGGCCUUACAAACUGGUAGAAGAUGCAUAAUAGAAGAGCUUAUGAAGUUAAAGAUGACAGCAUAGCAACACUGUUCACAAAGACAUUAUUGGUGAUUCAAUCUUGAGUCAUGAAAAGCCAACCUUGAGCCACAAAAAGUCAACCUUGAGCCAAGCAGAGUGGAGAGUCAUACUGGCCAUUCCUGGGACCAUCAAAAAUGGCAGAGGUCACACAAAAGGCAAAACCUUUAAGAGGUGUUUUAAACAUCGUAUGGGCCAAAGAGAAUCUGGAUUUCCUAUUGCAGUCAGCUGUAACACACGUGUGACAAAUUGGGCUGUGAGGACAAGGCAGUGAGUAGAGACGACAGCAGUCCUUAUGAGAUCAAGCUCUAAGGUAUCCUAGAUACAUUUGGAGAAUUCACCUGAGCUACAGGAUG